AUUCCGUUACUGUACUCAUAACGCGGAACGAUUAGCGAAAGCAGGUUGUUCACACUUAGCAUAGCCGUUGUCGCAAACCUCUGGGUCCGUAUCGGAGUACGGCCGGACUUCGUCACGGGUAGCUUAGUUGGGUGGCUCCCAUUAAACUUUCUCUUGCAUUGGGAACGGUCUUGUUGUGAGACUCCACCUGUAGCAAGUGGGUUCGAGCAUGCGUAUGGUUACAUUUGGGCAACCCCUGCAGGGUGUACAUCUUAUCGAUAAGCCGUGUCCGCGGUUAUGGACGACUUGGAAUUGUAUAGCUUGAUCAUAGAACAACUUACACCUUUAUGUUGUUAAUAAUAAUUUGCUAAUAACUUGAUUAGUAAUUUAGCAUUACUACAACCGAUACCUAAUAAAACUUGUCCACCGUUGAGUGCCUUUUACAUUGCCUCUUCGCAAUUGUUGAAGGGGAUAUGUGUAAUCGGCUGGGUUAUGUUUGUGUAGUAUUUAUCUGUUACCUUGUGCGCUCUCUUAUCUUCUCUGAGUAGACGGAUGUUGUAGCGUGUCUCUAUUGGAUAGUAGCUUUGCUGCCGCUAAACUCCACAUAUAGCCGGGUGAAGUUUAUACCGCCCACCAGCGAGCAUAGCUGGUCUUGUCUCGCAAGUACGUGCCAAUGGUACUUACCCUCGCUUUCCUUUCUUUUUGUCUCCUCCCCCUUUUGUCGGCAACCGAUGGCCCAACUUUGACAGGUACGAGAUGACGACGUUAGCAAGGUUACCCUUCCGGCUUGGCCUGGGCAGGGUUAUGGACGCCAUCGUUUAUCUUCAGGACUCUUAGUCCAAUUUGUAUCUUGUCCGUACUCGGACGUAUUCGAUCUUCUGUAUGAUUUGGAUCUUUGUAUUGUAUAUUUGUAUCUUGACUCGUUGGAGUCAUUGUUGUAAUAUAUGUAUCUUGUGGGCUCUAUUGUAA